CACACACACACACACACACACACACUGAUUCACAAAAAUAACAACAAACCGGGGUGAUAAAUCAAGGGGGGAAAGAAUUGGCAAUUUGCCGAGAUGUAACUUUUCUCAACAAAAUCUACAAUAUUGCGCCAGCUGGAGAAGGAUGCGCGUGACGAGAAUGGGAGAGAAAGACACCGACUGGUCCGGGGGAGAAAAAAAAGCUCCGUUAACGGCGGUUUGCGCCGUCAGCCUUCUCCGGGUGUAGCUUUUUUUUUUUUUUCUCCCGAGGAACUGACAGGGGGCUGACAAAUCGAAAACACGCCUCAUCUCACACCAGCAUGGGCGUUAAGAAGCUUGCCGUCUUUCUCCUCGUCCUCUAUCUUUGUCUGGAGGGAGGAUGGGCCAAAGAAAAUAGAUCAAAGAAGGGAAAGAAAAAAGGGAAACCGAUUUUCUGUCCAUCACAGCUGUCAUCCGAGGAUCUGGCCCAAGUCCCGGAGAAUUCAACCAGUAACAUCUUGAACAGGUUACUGCUCACCUAUGAUCCCAGAAUAAGGCCCAACUUCAAAAGAAUUCCCGUGGAAGACAAAGUGAACAUUUUCAUCAACAGCUUUGGCUCCAUUCAAGAAACGACGAUGGAUUACAGAGUGAACAUCUUCCUGCGGCAGCGAUGGAACGACCCCCGGCUGAAGCUGCCGCAGGACUUCAAGUCCGAGUCGCUCACCGUGGACCCGGGGAUGUUCAAGUGUCUCUGGAAACCGGACCUGUUCUUCGCCAACGAGAAGAGCGCCAACUUUCACGACAUCACCCAGGAGAACAUUCUCCUCUUCAUUUUCCAGAACGGAGACGUCCUCAUCAGUAUGAGGUUGUCCAUCACCCUUUCCUGUCCCCUGGACCUCACGCUGUUCCCCAUGGACACACAGAGGUGUAAGAUGCAACUUGAAAGCUUCGGCUACACCACAAACGACCUGCAGUUCAUGUGGCAGACAGGAGACCCGGUGCAAAUGGACAACAUCGCUCUGCCUCAGUUUGAUAUCAGACAAGAAGAUAUUGAUUAUGGGAACUGCACCAAAUUCUAUUCGGGAACAGGGUACUACACUUGUGUGGAGGUUAUCUUCACCCUAAAGCGACAGUCUGGCUUCUACUUGAUGGGUGUGUACGCCCCCACGCUGCUCAUCGUGGUCCUCUCCUGGCUCUCCUUCUGGAUCAACCCUGACGCCAGUGCCGCCAGGGUGCCUUUGGGUAACGUGUUAUUUGAUCAGUCCAAACCACCUUCCGCUGACAUUUACCGAGGCACGUGAUGUGUAAAUAUUCCACGUGAUGUGUAAAUAUUCCACGUGAUGUGUACAUAUUCCCCCGUGCUGUUCAACCAGGGUCGAGUGCGUGGUUGGGUGUUAGCUCCUGAAAGAGGGCUGAGUGAGAGGGCGGUCGGCGUCGAGGUAAAAUAGGUGUGGAAAAAUCCAUGAGGGGAAAAGAUUGCAGUUGGAUUCAUACGUUUUUAGGGAUCACCGACAUCUCGGCCCCAAUCGUCUCCAUGACGACAACAUCAAUCACUUUGACUUCACGAAGGACUUCUAUCAACCGUGGUGCCGUGUGCAGCACUGUUCUCUUUGCGAUACUUCACUUAAUAUAACUGUAAGUGACUGAAGUAACCACCACGCUGGUGCUUUAGGUACUUUAGGGCUUUCAAGUAGCACUUAUUGAAUCUACGUCUUAAUUAAUGGGGAUUGUGAGCCUCUGUUUAAGUGGAUUUACUGCACUUCCUACUGUAGAAGUUAUGUUUUAGACAUUGGAAAAAACCUCAGGCUAAAGGUCUGACGCCCACAUCAGUCAUUGAUCUGCCAACGCACUCACUCACAUAAAAUUACUUAUAUAAAAUAUAUAAAAAAAUAACCCCACUUGGUUUUUAGCCAGCUAAUCUCUCCAUUGAUGUGAUUCCUGUUAAACCACGAACAUUUAACAACAGUUACUAAAUUUUGGCUUUUGACUAGGCAGAUAUGUAAAAUGUAACUGAUUUCUGUUAAUCAGUGUGGGCAACGGGAGGCGGAAAGAGAACCCGGAGGCUCAGCUGGCCAACGAGCACCACCUGAUCCCAAUGAACCCUAAUUAGUGAAGGGCUGAGCGGGGGCUGCACGGGUAGCAGCGCUGUCGCUCCUUUUUUGUUUUAUUCAAACGGGAGGAGCGCCACGAUCUUUCUCACGCGAAGAGGGUCCAGGUAGAUUAUUAGACGCUUGGCCUCAGCCAAGAGGGGAUUAGAGAAUGGAUGGUUGAGCACCACCAGUGCUCAAUUUAAAGUACUGGUUUUGAAUAAAUCACAGAUUAGCCAUCUAUGGUGUCCUAGUUUCAGCUGCAUGAUGGGAAAAGAGGCAGCAACUCUCAAAGCCGUCACACACUUUGUUUGGUCCAGAUGGAAAAACGACAUCAAUGUGAUGACCUCACCGUAUUACUUAUUACUAGGGCUGUCAGCGUUAACGCGUUAAUCUAUGCGAUUAAUUUGGCCGCGUUAACGCACUAAAAUAUUUUAACGCAAUUAACGCAACUUUGUUUACUUCCGGUGUUCGUUGAUUUUUUACACUGUUUCCGUUUUUAAAACAAUUAUUUCUCCGCGAAAAUAAGGAGCAUAAAUCAGUUUAACUCGUGGAUGAAUCAGUCGGGUUUCCUCCUGCUCCUCCUUCCUCCCGUCUCCCCCUCUGAUACACAGAGGAACAGAGGGGCGACGUGUCGGGUGACGCGGCGCGUAAAGAACUCGUCACACGAAACCUUCAACGUGUCUGUCAACAUUUUGGGGAAAAAACAACCAAUGAACACUCAGUAAAUCACAAAGUACCUCCCACCUCACAGGUGAGGCUCAUUUAGCAGCCUGUCAGUCAGAGAGCAGAGAACACGGCACCAGGACAAUGAGCCUCAUUGAAUAGAGCUGAGAUUGUUCUGGAAUGUUUGAUGUAUAACAUGUGGGGGUAUGUGUCAUAUGCAAACGCCUUUAAAAGGUGAAAUUACAUUUUUUUGUAAAAUGUAUAAAAUGUCCCCAGCCUCCAGAGGGUUAACAUGACACAUUUGAAUGUCAGUCAGUUGCCAAGGCCACUGGUUCUGCUGUUCAAUGUUAAAGAUGACAGGACCAAUGGGGUCUCAAUAUACUUCUUUUUUUACUAAUCUGAUGUUUCACUGAAGAAACAAUUUAUCAUCCACAAUAUUAAAUACCUCGCUGGCACUUUAUAGGUAGGAGCCUCUUUGAAAACACAGCUCUGUGUGAAGUUUGGUCUUUAAAAAGAAUGAACUUUUAACUCUUAACUUUUAAUUGCGAUUAAUCGCGAUUAAUCGCGAUUAAUGAAUUUCAAAAUGUGCGAUUAAUUAGUUAAUUUUUUUUAAUCGAUUGACAGCCCUACUUAUUAUUCAUCACUCAUCACUCAGCUCAUCCCAUCUUCAUGCUUCACCAUUUUUAUUUUAUUUAUUGUUGUUGUUGUUGUUGUUGUUGUUGUUGUUAUUAUUAUUAUUAUAUUGUGUCUUAUUGUAUAGGUCUGUGCUACAUAUUAAUGUAUUUACCACACAUGCAGACUAACACAACAUAUCCUCAUAAUCUCAUCUUCUACUGACGCUCUGUCACACACCUGGGAGCCACUUUCUAACGCACAAAAUAACAUUCUCAUACAACUAAACUAUCAGUUAUGAUUCUAGGGAUGCAUAUUUUCUUCCAGAAGAACAAUCGCUGGUUUAACCAUUUCAGACACGUAGUUAACAAACAAAAGAAAACAAAAAAAGGUUUAACAUGACUGAAAUUUUAAAAAGGACUAAAAAACAUACUAGAUGGUGCGUGCAGGGCAGCAUAGAUGAGAUAGUCUAUUGUUAUCCCCCUCCAGUCGUCCACUGUCUCCUUUUCUCCAUCCUCCCUCAAGUUGUUUAUCACCACUUUCAUCCCAUCAUCCCUCCAACUCCUCCUGGAAGCCUCCUCUGACUUCUCUCUAAAUGGGAUCAGUCCAGGCAUCCUCUCGGUGCUCUCUCUCUCCUCCGAGUGCACCUCGCUGGCGGCGGAGCUGCCCAAGGUGUCCUACGUCAAGGCCAUCGAC